rnacentral:rRNA from 1 species
CGUGGCGGCGUGCGUACCAUGCAGUCGAACGAGAAAUUCCGGGCUUGCUCGGGAGAGUAAAGUGGCGAACGGGUGAGUAACGCGUGGGUAACCUGCCCCUGAAUCUGGAAUAACUCGCCGAAAGGCGUGCUAAUACCGGAUAUUGUCCCAGGGACCGUGGUCCUUGUGAUGAAAGAUGACCUCUUCACGAAAGUUGUCGUUCAGGGAGGGGCUCGCGUACCAUUAGCUAGUUGGUAGGGUAAUGGCCUACCAAGGCGAUGAUGGUUAGCUGGUCUGAGAGGAUGACCAGCCACACUGGCACUGAAACACGGGCCAGACUCCUACGGGAGGCAGCAGUGAGGAAUUUUGCGCAAUAGGGGAAACCCUGACGCAGCAACGCCGCGUGAGUGAAGAAGGCCCUCGGGUCGUAAAGCUCUGUCAAGUGGGAAAAAAGCUUACUGGUUAACAGCCAGGAAGACUGAUGGUACCAUUGAAGGAAGCACCGGCUAACUCCGUGCCAGCAGCCGCGGUAAUACGGAGGGUGCAAGCGUUGUUCGGAAUUACUGGGCGUAAAGGGCGUGUAGGCGGUGUGGUAAGUCAGAUGUGAAAGCCCUGGGCUUAACCCAGGAAGUGCAUUUGAUACUGCCAUGCUUGAGUAUGGGAGAGGAGAGUGGAAUUCCCAGUGUAGAGGUGAAAUUCGUAGAUAUUGGGAGGAACACCCGUGGCGAAGGCGACUCUCUGGACCAAUACUGACGCUGAGGCGCGAAAGCGUGGGGAGCAAACAGGAUUAGAUACCCUGGUAGUCCACGCUGUAACGAUGAGCACUAGUGUAGCGGGUAUU